AACGAACGCUGGCGGCAUGCCUAACACAUGCAAGUCGAACGAGACCUUCGGGUCUAGUGGCGCACGGGUGCGUAACGCGUGGGAACCUGCCCUUAGGCUCGGAAUAACUCUCCGAAAGGGGUGCUAAUACCGGAUAAUGUCUUCGGACCAAAGAUUUAUCGCCUUUGGAUGGGCCCGCGUUGGAUUAGCUAGUUGGUAGGGUAAAAGCCUACCAAGGCGACGAUCCAUAGCUGGUCUGAGAGGAUGAUCAGCCACACUGGGACUGAGACACGGCCCAGACUCCUACGGGAGGGAGCAGUGGGGAAUAUUGGACAAUGGGCGGAAGCCUGAUCCAGCAAGGCCGCGUGAGUGAUGAAGGCCGUAGGGUAGUAAAGCUCUUUUACCCGGGAUGAUAAUGACAGUACCGGGAGAAUAAGCACCGGCUAACUCCGUG
rnacentral:rRNA from 1 species